rnacentral:rRNA from 1 species
GACGAGAGGCCCGAGCGUUAAUCAGAAUCACUGGGCUUAAAGGGUGCGUAGGCUGGCUUUCAGGCGUGCCGUGAAAUCCCCCGACUCAACCGGGGAACUGCGGUGCGAACCGUUGGCCUUGAGGGAGGCAGGGGCCGCUAGAACGUUCGGUGGAGCGGUGAAAUGCGUUGAUAUCGAACGGAAUGCCGAUGGUGAAGACGAGCGGCUGGGCCUGCCCUGACGCUGAGGCACGAAAGCGUGGGGAUCAAACAGGAUUAGAUACCCUGGUAGUCCACGCCGUAAACGUUGUGCACUAGGCCGGUGCGGGUUUGACCCCGUGCUGGUCGUAGAGAAAUCGUUAAGUGCACCGCCUGGGGAGUACGGUCGCAAGGCUAAAACUCAAAGGAAUUGACGGGGGCUCACACAAGCGGUGGAGCAUGUUGCUUAAUUCGAAGCAACGCGAAGAACCUUACCUGGGCUUGACAUGCACGGAUUAGCCCGUGGAAACACGGGUGACGCCCUUUGGGUGGAACGUGCACAGGUGCUGCAUGGCUGUCGUCAGCUCGUGCUGUGAAGUGUCGGGUUAAGUCCCUUAACGAGCGCAACCCCUGUCGCUAGUUGCCAGCGCGUCAUGGCGGGGACUCUAGCGAGACUGCCGGUGUCAAACCGGAGGAAGGUGGGGAUGACGUCAAGUCCUCAUGGCCCUUAUGUCCAGGGAUGCAAACGUGCUACAAUGGCGCGUACAGAGCGAUGCGAUGCCGCGAGGCGGAGCAAAUCGCAAAAAGCGCGCCCCAGUUCGGAUCGCAGUCUGCAACUCGACUGCGUGAAGUUGGAAU